UCACUCCCAGAAUCACACCGUCGCAGUAGCUUAUUAGCUAGGUGGCAUGACAGAGUUGUAUUCAAAUACAUACGUGGUAAAGCUGCACCUGGGCACGUUGAAUGUCAUG
rnacentral:ncRNA from 1 species